GAUGAACGCUGGCGGCGUGCUUAACACAUGCAAGUCGAACGGAAAGGCCCAAGCUUGCUUGGGUACUCGAGUGGCGAACGGGUGAGUAACACGUGGGUGAUCUGCCCUGCACUUCGGGAUAAGCCUGGGAAACUGGGUCUAAUACCGGAUAGGACGAUGGUUUGGAUGCCAUUGUGGAAAGUUUUUUCGGUGUGGGAUGAGCUCGCGACCUAUCAGCUUGUUGGUGGGGUAAUGGCCUACCAAGGCGUCGACGGGUAGCCGGCCUGAGAGGGUGUACGGCCACAUUGGGACUGGGAUACGGCCCAGACUCCUACGGGAGGCAGCAGUGGGGAAGAUUGCACAAUGGGCGCAAGCCUGAUGCAGCGACGCCGCGUGGGGGAUGACGGCCUUCGGGUUGUAAACUCCUUUCGCUAGGGACGAAGCGUUUUGUGACGGUACCUGGAGAAGAAGCACCGGCUAACUACGUG
rnacentral:rRNA from 1 species